rnacentral:tRNA from 1 species
UCCCUGUUGGUUUAGUGGUUAGGAUUCAGUGCUUCCACUACUGUGACCCAGGUUCAAUCCUUGGUCUGGGAA